UUGUUGAGCCGUCACACGG
rnacentral:snRNA from 1 species